rnacentral:rRNA from 1 species
GGGUUGUGAGGUUAAGCGACUAAGCGUACACGGUGGAUGCCCUGGCAGUCAGAGGCGAUGAAGGACGUGCUAAUCUGCGAUAAGCGCCGGUAAGGUGAUAUGAACCGUUAUAACCUUAGUGGAAGCGUCUGGAAAGGCGCGCGAUACAGGGUGACAGCCCCGUACACAAAAGCGCAUGUGCUGUGAGCUCGAUGAGUAGGGCGGGACACGUGGUAUCCUGUCUGAAUAUGGGGGGACCAUCCUCCAAGGCUAAAUACUCCUGACUGACCGAUAGUGAACCAGUACCGUGAGGGAAAGGCGAAAAGAACCCCGGCGAGGGGAGUGAAAAAGAACCUGAAACCGUGUACGUACAAGCAGUGGGAGCACAGGUUUACCUGUGUGACUGCGUACCUUUUGUAUAAUGGGUCAGCGACUUAUAUUCUGUAGCAAGGUUAACCGAAUAGGGGAGCCGGAGGGAAACCGAGUCUUAAYYGGGCGUUAAGUUGCAGGGUAUAGACCCGAAACCCGGUGAUCUAGCCAUGGGCAGGUUGAAGGUUGGGUAACACUAACUGGAGGACCGAACCGACUAAUGUUGAAAAAUUAGCGGAUGACCUGUGGCUGGGGGUGAAAGGCCAAUCAAACCGGGAGAUAGCUGGUUCUCCCCGAAAGCUAUUUAGGUAGCGCCUCGUGAAUUCAUCUCCGGGGGUAG